ACACGUAGGGGCCUGACGUUGUUCGGAAUCAUUGGGCGUAAAGGGCGCGCAGGCGGCCGUCCAAGUCCGGAGUUAAAUGGUCGGGCUCAACCCGAUCAUGCGCUGGAAACUGGGCGGCUUGAGUCCCGUAGGGGAUGCCGGAAUUCCAGGAGUAGGGGUGAAAUCUGUAGAUAUCUGGAAGAACACCGAUGGCGAAGGCAGGCAUCUGGCCGGAGACUGACGCUGAGGCGCGAAGGCGCGGGGAGCGAACAGGUUUAGAUACCCUGGUAGUCCGCGCAGUAAACGAUGCGCACCAGGUGUCGGGCGGCAGCGCCCGGUACCGGAGCUAACGCGAUGAGUGCGCCGCCUGGGGAGUAUGCCCGCAAGGGUGAAACUCAAAGGAAUGGACGGGG
rnacentral:rRNA from 1 species